UCCCUACAACAUUCAGACCACUA
rnacentral:siRNA from 1 species